rnacentral:rRNA from 1 species
GAUGAACGCUUUCUUCUUUCCUAAUACAUGCAAGUCGAGCGAACAGACGAGGAGCUUGCUCCUCUGACGUUAGCGGCGGACGGGUGAGUAACACGUGGAUAACCUACCUAUAAGACUGGGAUAACUUCGGGAAACCGGAGCUAAUACCGGAUAAUAUAUUGAACCGCAUGGUUCAAUAGUGAAAGACGGUUUUGCUGUCACUUAUAGAUGGAUCCGCGCCGCAUUAGCUAGUUGGUAAGGUAACGGCUUACCAAGGCAACGAUGCGUAGCCGACCUGAGAGGGUGAUCGGCCACACUGGAACUGAGACACGGUCCAGACUCCUACGGGAGGCAGCAGUAGGGAAUCUUCCGCAAUGGGCGAAAGCUUGACGGAGCAACGCCGCGUGAGUGAUGAAGGUCUUCGGAUCGUAAAACUCUGUUAUUAGGGAAGAAAAAAUGUGUAAGUAACUAUGCACGUCUUGACGGUACCUAAUCAGAAAGCCACGGCUAACUACGUG